AGACUCCUACGGGAGGCAGCAGUGAGGAAUUUUGCGCAAUGGGCGAAAGCCUGACGCAGCAACGCUGCGUGAGCGAUGAAGCUUUUUGGAGUGUAAAGCUCUGUCAGAAGGGAAUAAGAGGGUGUUAACUAAUAAUUAACAUCAUUGACGGUACCUUCAGAGGAAGCCCCGGCUAACUCCGUGCCAGCGGCCGCGGUAAUACGGAGGGGGCAAGCGUUGUUCGGAAUUACUGGGCGUAAAGCGCGCGUAGGCGGUUUGGUUAGUCAAGCGUUUAAUCCCUCGGCUUAACUGAGGUUCAGCGUUUGAUACUGCCAGACUUGAGUACGGGAGAGGAGAGUGGAAUUCCAUGUGUAGCGGUGAAAUGCGCAGAUAUAUGGAGGAACACCUGUGGCGAAGGCGGCUCUCUGGACCGAUACUGACGCUGAGGUGCGAAAGCGUGGGGAGCAAACGGGAUUAGAUACCCCGGUAGUCCACGCCGUAAACGAUGGGUACUUGGUGUAGGGGGCAUCGACCCCCCCUGUGCCGGAGCUAACGCAUUAAGUACCCCGCCUGGGGAGUACGACCGCAAGGUUGAAACUCAAGGAAUUGACGGGGCCCCGCACAGCGU
rnacentral:rRNA from 1 species